UGUCUUACCCUCAUGUACCAAUAUAUUAUCUAUGUUUGUAACCCGCCAUUAUCACACAUUAUUAGUACGGCUUUUUUAAGGUUAGCUGUAAUUAUGGAUAAAUGGCCCAUACUACACAAUUUACCAUUUAUAACCAUGGUAUUUUUAAUUUUCCCGGAAUACUAGAGUUCGUAGUGGUACUACUAAAGCCAUUGAGAAAGUUGGUACGUUUGUUAAAAUUCGUUGAGAAUCCUGUUCUUUUUAUUCGUGUUUCAGAUAUGUAUU